rnacentral:antisense_RNA from 1 species
AAUAAUGGUGACUCAGGCGGGGCAUCCUUCGGGAUGGCCGGUGUUCAGUAAGGCCGGUUUCUGACCCCCGUCUGGGCUAACACCCUA